rnacentral:lncRNA from 1 species
GCAGGGCCCGGCAGUGCUCUGAGCAGGGGAGCAGCGGGAGCGCGGGCCUGACGUCGGGCGGCGAGCAUUUACCCACCCGGAGGGGCGGCCGCGCCUGGGCCGUGCCCGCCGGGAGAGCAGUGCCAGGCGGCCACGGAGGAGCCGCUGUCUGGCUGCGUGGGGGCCGGGCAGCUCGGGCAGUCCGGAGCCCGCCCCAGCGCAGGUUCUCUGCGACCAGGAGCAGGCGAGAGGGCCCUGCCGGUCCCCGCUGAUUCCCCGGGGCUGCUCCUCCCCGUCUCUUCCCAGGACGGGCGGUCCUCGCCUCUGGGGAUGCCCAUGCCUGAGGUCAGCUCAGGCCGCAGUCGGCCGGGUGCGAGGCAGCCCUGGCCCGCUCCUUCCGCCCGGCCAGCGGACCGGUCCUCAGGGCUGUGGAGCACGGAGCGCGCUUGGUAAGAAAAUUAACACCAAGCACUGGGAUGGGCCACGAGCUUCGGGAACUGAACCCGCGGCCUCCUUAGCGCGGCCACGAAUUUCCCUGCUCGGCCUCAACCGCGCCCAGCUCAGCCGCGCAGCCGCUGCUUCUCUCAGAUCAGGGAAAUCACCUGGACAGUCUGCACCGAGCACCGGAGCGCGCAGCGUCCGGGAAAGCCGCAGUUUAACCUUCGCGUCUUCGUUGUCUGGGGGCGCAGAGGCCCAAGGCCUCCUGCCUCCCGCAGGGCCACACACAGCACCCCGUUUCCAGCACAUGCGCCAGACUCCGAGAGGACGCCUGUCCCCGUGGACGCUGCCUCUUCUUGUUCUCUGAGGCCUGAGCCCGGGACAGGGGGCGGUGACCGCGCCCCGCAGGCCCCGGGAUCGGCAUCAUCCUGCGGUAGCAGUUCGCGUCACGCCCGUCGCCUGCCUUGCUGCUGUGACUCCGGUUCGCUCACGUCAUGAGUGUAAGGGGCCGAGUGAAAGCGCCGCACACGUGCGUGUCCUCGGUCUGAAGCGGGCGCGUCCAGACUCGGACAGUGGCGCUGUCUGCGCGGUUCUUCGCCAGUGCCGCAGAUCGCAUGCUGCCGCGGGGCAGGUGCUGGCUUCCAGGGCUGCGCGCCAGUUGACUAAGAAGCUAAGCUCUGACCGAAUCAGUCGCUGCACUUGACGCCUCGGGGCCGCACACUCACUGGAACCACCAGGGAGGGAGCCAGGAGGACACAGG